rnacentral:rRNA from 1 species
AUUGAACGCUGGCGGCAUGCCUUACACAUGCAAGUCGAACGGUAACAGGUCUUCGGAUGCUGACGAGUGGCGAACGGGUGAGUAAUACAUCGGAACGUGCCUAGUAGUGGGGGAUAACUACUCGAAAGAGUGGCUAAUACCGCAUGAGAUCUACGGAUGAAAGCAGGGGAUCGCAAGACCUUGUGCUACUAGAGCGGCCGAUGGCAGAUUAGGUAGUUGGUGGGAUAAAAGCUUACCAAGCCGACGAUCUGUAGCUGGUCUGAGAGGACGAUCAGCCGCACUGGGACUGAGACACGGCCCAGACGCCUACGGGAGUCAGCAGUGGGGAAUUUUGGACAAUGGGCGAAGGCCUGAUCCAGCAAUGCCGCGUGCAGGAUGAAGGCCUUCGGGUUGUAAACUGCUUUUGUACGGAACGAAAAGCCCCGGGUUAAUACCCUGGGGUCAUGACGGUACCGUAAGAAUAAGCACCGGCUAACUACGUGCCAGCCGCCGCCGUAA